UUUAUAUAUUUUAUAUGUUUUUCAUUCUUUUAUAAAUUUGAAUGACAAAUAUUCUUGGAUAUGUGGAGACUCAUCACUUGUAUCUGUUCUUAGUAACAUUCAAUGAGUUUCCAGUUGUGGAAAUAUUUGUAAAAUUUUUUGUAUCAAGUUUAGGCACGGCCUUGUUUUACUACUGCAAUUGAUUUUUUGCUGAUUAUAUGUUCAGGGUAGUUGGUGUGUAUUAUGAAGGAUUAGUUUGUUGAUGUCAUGUCUUAGUCAGGUUUUAUUUCUACUCAAGGUUAUCUGGCAAUUCAGUUUGUCUGUCUGGAGAGAUUAAAUAUUGACGGUGGCCAAUUGCUGCUGCUUGAAUGAGUUUGGAGUCGAGUUCUUCUGUUAAUACUUUUUUUUAUUAUUAUAAUUUUUUUUUUUAUUUUAUGUCUUGCUUCUUGAUGGGUGUAGUUUGAUUGUGUUUACCGUAUUUGGUUUUGUAAGUAGUCUUUUGAUCCAUGUGCUUAAUUAAUUAAUAAUGUUUAGGAAGGUGUGAUGCUUUGGUUUUCCACAAUAAAUGGCGUGGUUGCUAUGUGGUUUUUCAGGGAUUGACUUUGUGGCUUGACACAUUCAAGUCGGACAAGCAAUGGUGUUUCUAGUGGCAGACGAGUAGUAACUAUUGAAGGAUGUUCACUUUGAUAGUAUUUUUUAUAUUUUUCUUGAUCAAUGCACGUUUUUGGUCUAGUAUGCUUAAUUGAUUAAUUUCCUCCAGGUAGGGUACAUUGGUAGUGUGGAUUCUAGUGACUUCCAUUUGGUGUUCAGAAGAUCUGAUUGAGGAUUUGAGCCCUUCAAAAGGAGGUUUUUGAAUCACGUCACUUCAUAGUUGAAAUCGUUCUGAUUACUGUUUGAUUUAUUGCUUCAAUUGAAUAUGUCGGGUGCUUGGAUUGCUGAUGUGAAGGUCGCUGGUGAAAUUAUUUCAUUACCAUCUUUUGUUUUAUUUUUAUUUCUGUUUGUAUUUCUGAAAUUUAGGUUUUCUUUUUUGAGGUAGCGCAUUUGUUUUGGGUACAAAAUGUCACAGGAUCAAAUCCUGUCAUCCCUACCUUUUACUACUACUAUUCUAUGGAAAGUUAGGAGGGAGUAAUUUAAAUCGAUUAAAAUUUGAUUUUGAAACUUCUUUUGUAUGUCAUUGCUUUAGGGAUGAUUUUAGAUGGAAUAAAGGCCUUCGCUGCAAACUACAUCAAUGAUUGUGUAAUUGGUCUAGAUUUAAUGAUGAUAUGUUUUUUUUUUCUCAGUUGAUGAUGAUUUUAGCAGCAUUUAAUUGUUAUUCUUAUUAUUAUCUUGUCAUAGCUUUUAGUUUAUUCUUAGGAUUUUUUCUAUUGCUAAUGGAGAUGGCGUAAACUAGCAGUUUCCUUUUGGUCAAUGUGGGAGCUCUGUGAUUCUUAUGUGAUGGAAAUUUGAGAGCAAAGGUUCUAGGAGCAUUGUGGUAUUUGUGUUCAAUGAUCUUUGCAUUUUUUUGAUAAUUUUGUUUGUACUUUGAAUUGAGAGAGAUAACUUGAUGCUUCUUCCUUCUGGUCACUGUGUUUACUUUCUUGGGGCUUAAUAGAACUGUGCGGAUAGUAAAAGGUGGGAAUUCCUUUGGUUUUAUGCCAUCAUAAAAGAUUGAAGUUUAUUAGUGUUUUCCCUUGAACUGAUGGCGCUGAAGAUCUGUUGUUGUUUCACUUAAGGUCAUUACUUUUAAGUUGUGUGUUUUGUUUGGUCCUCAUUUUAUGUGGUCAUAAGUCUCAUUGAAUGAUUGUUAUAAGUUGGUGGUUGUUUUGGCUUCAGAUCUCCACAGUUUCAUGCAAACGUAAGCUUUUGUUGUUUUAAGGAAUUGCUGCUCUAUUAAGCUUCUAAUGGUGCAAUGAAAUGGAGGUAUUCGAAAUUCCAAGAUAUGGUGCAAUAUUUGGAAGCUUCCGUGUAGCAUGGAUUCAAGAGACUUACAUUUGUUGGUGGAUGGACUUGAUCAAUUUUCUUGGAAGGGGGUUUCUUGAUCACUUUGAAAAUUAACUAGAUCUGAUUUCUAUUUGAUAUAGUGCCCUUUUUUAGAAGUUGUGAACAUGCUUGUGUUUAAUUUUCUUUGCAGGAUAAAUUGUCAAUUGGCUAUAUUUCGGACAAUUGAAAUUCAUCUUGUGCUUGGUUGUCUGGAGGGGUUUCGCAUCAUGAUUAAAAAUAUGAUCACCCUGGAUGCCAACUCCUAUAUCUCGUUAAUCAAUUGCAAUUGCAAGUGUUAAUGAGUCAGAAUUUCAACAUGAAGAACAUGAGAAGAAAAUGAAGUAGAAGUGGAACAUGCCAUUAACUUUGAAGCAUUGAAUGCUCAGACUUUUAGGUGUUUGGUUUAUGAUAUUUAAAAAUUUUAUGGAUGAUUUAUGGAUUUGUAAUGUUCAUGAACUAAUUAAGAUGUUCUUUCAAGUAUUUUUUGAUAGAUUACAAAAUUUGUCAUGUGUUU